GGAAUUUCCGCCCUAUAUUAGAGGUGCCGGCGGGAUUUCCCGCUCGGCUAUGGCGAUAAACGGGCUGUGUAAUAAGCCAUUCGGACCCGGGGGCGGUACCCGGCGCCUCCACCAGAUUUCCCCUGUCAUGGCAGGGCUCCUGGGGGCGAAACAGGAUCGACGAGGGUGUAAAGACAGUCUUUUUGCCCGGCAUGGUUCCGCCGUUAUCGGGCCGUUUGAUAGUUGCCAACGACAACUAUGCUGAGGCGCGUCUCGCUGCUUAAGCAGUGCGACAACCUCGAUUUAAGCCCUUGCCCUUAGCCGGGUAAGGCGGGGUUCGGGGGCACCUGGCAACAGAAGCCCCCA
rnacentral:tmRNA from 1 species